rnacentral:rRNA from 1 species
UACGUAGGGGGCAAGCGUUGUCCGGAAUCAUUGGGCGUAAAGCGCGUGUAGGCGGCUCGAUAAGUCUGCUGUGAAAGUCCAGGGCUCAACCCCGGAAGUGCAUUGGAAACUAGCCAGCUAGAGCGCGAGAGAGGAGGGUGGAAUUCCUGGUGUAGCGGUGAAAUGCGUAGAUAUCAGGAGGAACACCGGUGGCGAAGGCGGCUCACUGGCCCGAUACUGACGCUGAGGCACGAAAGCGUGGGGAGCAAGCAGG